UGACUUCAGAUCAGACAUAGCGACCCGCCUAAUUUAAGCAUAUUACUAAGUGGAGGAAAAUAAACUGAUCAGGAUUCCCUCAGUAACAGUGAGUGAAGAGGGAAGAGCUCAGCACUGAAUCCCCGUCCAGACAACGGGUGCAGGGAAAUGUGGCAUACGGACGUCCAUAUCCCUGGUGCCGCCCAGGGUGCCCAAGUCUUUGUGAUCAAGGCUCAGCCCACGGGCAGUGUGAGGGCAGUGGCUGCCCCUGGUGAGUUGGAAUCAGGUCUUCUCAGAGUCAGGUUGUUUGUGAAUGCAGCCCAAAGCAGGUGGUAAACUCCAUCUAAGAUAAAACACUGGCAUGAGACCGAUAGCGGACAAGUACCAUAAGGGAAAGUUGAAAAGAACUUUAAAGAGAGAGUUCAAGAGGGCGUGAAACCAUUCAGAUGUAAAUGGGUGGGGUCCAUACGGUCUGCCCAGAGGAUUCAACUCAGUGGUUGCGUCAGCCACCCAUGUGAGUUCCCCUACCCCUCCAGGGGGGGUGGGGGACCAUCCCUGGGUAUGCCAGCCACUGUCAGGUGCACUUCCUCUGCAGCAGUGUGCAGCAACUGGUUCCUGAUUGGCUGGGAAGGCCGCAUGGAAGGUGGCUCCCCUCCCUGGAGGGGAGUGUUGCAGCCUAUCAGCCCUUGCUGUGCCACUGGGUCGUGGGAGACCACUGCCGCACCCUCCCUUGCCCUCUCGGCAGAGGCCCCUGGCUCCUUGCGGACUGUCGACUGGGCCUGACUGUUCUCAGUGUGGCCCUACCACAUCCCACUGAUGGGCCAGCAGGCUAACUUCGGGUGCCCGGGGUCCAUGGCAAUGUCGGUGACCCACCCAUCCUGUCUUGAAACAUGGACCAAGGAGUCUAACAGGUGCGUGAGUCCGAGGGUGGGCAAGAGACCCCACUGUGCAAUGAAAGUGAGGGCCAGCAUGCACCAGCUGAGGUGGGUUACCCACACCCCACUUGGGGGGGGCGCAUCAUCGGUCCAUCUCACCUGUCCCGUCAGGGAGGUGAAGCGUUAGCGCACCUGGUGGGACCCAAAAAAUGGUGAACUAUGCCUAGGCAGGGCUAAGCCAGAGGAAAUUCUGGUAGAGAUCCGUAGUGGUCAUAACAUGCAAAUCGGUCAUCUGACCUGGGUAUAGGGGCAAAAGACUAAUUGAACCAUCUAGUAGCUGUUUCCCUCAGGAUAGCUGGUGCUCAUCGGAUGCAGUUUUAUCUGGUAAAGAGAAUGAUUAGAGGUCAUGGGGCCAAAACGAUCUCAACCUAUUCUCAAACUUUAAAUGGGUAAGAAGCCCGACUCACUGACUUGGAUCCUGGCGUGGAAUGUGAGUGCCCAGUGGGCCACUUUUGGUAAGCAGAACUGGAGCUGCGGGAUGAAAUGAGUGCCUGGUUAAGUCACCUGAUGCCGACACUCAUCAGACCCCCAGAAAAGGUGUUGGUUGACAUAGACAGCAGGACGGUGGCCAUCGAAGUCGGAAUCCGCUAAAGAGUGUGUAACAACUCAUUGCCAAAUCAACUAUACCUAAAAAUGGAUGCUGCUGUAGCAUCAGGCCCAUACCCAGCCGGUGAUGGGAGACAAGUGGGCUAUGCCACGACGAGUAGGAGGGCUGCCGCAGUGGCACUGAAGCCCAGGGCGAGGGCCCGGGUGGAUCUGCAGUGGGUGCAGAUCGUAGUGGUAGUAGCAAAUAUUCAAAUGAGAGCUUUGAAGGCCAAAGUGGAGAAGGUAUCCAUGUGAACAGCAGUUAAACAUGGGUCAGUCAGUCCUGAGAGAUAGGCGAGCGCCAUUCCGAAGGGACGGGCAUUGGCCUCUGUCACCCUCAGCCAGUCGAAAGGGAGUCAGGUUCAGAUUCCCCAAAUCCAGAGCGGUGGAGACAGGUGCCUCAAGGCGUCCAGUGCAGUGAUUCAAACAAUCCCAUAUAAGCCAGUUGGUGCCCCUGGGAGAGUUCUUUUUCCCUUAUAAAGGGAAGGGGGCUCUGGAAUAGGUUCACCCCGAGAGAGGGGCCCGCGGCCUGGAAAACACUGUGGUUCCAGCAGCGUCAAGUGAGCUCUUGCCGGCCCUUGUAAAUUCGAGAGAGAGGGUCUUGCGCCGGGCCAUACACAUAUCCGCAGCAGGUCUCCAAGGUGAACAGCCUCUGGCAUGUUAGAACAAUGUAGGUAAGAGAAGUUGGCAAGCAGUAACUUCAAGAUAAGGACUGGCUCUAAGGGCUUGGGCAUGAAGUGGGGCUGGGUGCGUGCUGCGGCUGGAUGAGGUGUCACCCCCUCACUGUGCUCCCCCUCCUGGGGGGGGCCAGGGGGAUGGUGGCAGCGACUCUGCAUGCACGCUGGGCCCUUCUGGUGGAUCGCCUCAUCUGUGACGGGCGCUGGUCAUGACCAGCGGCCUGCAUUGUCCAGCAGCUAGCAGCUGACUUAAAACUGGUGCAGACUGGGGGAAUCCAACUGUUUCAUUAAAACAAAGCAUUGCAAAGGCCCGAGAUGGGUGUU